AAUCAUGUAAUACCCUUGUCCAACCUCAGAAUUUGAGAGAAGAGAGAGGGAGAACUCGAGAAGACAGAAGGAGUGAAGAUGAGGACCCAAAAUCAACACUAUUUUUCCAUCAUCUCAAGCUUCAAGGAUCUAUUGCAUGUGGAUAUUUAAGCUCUUGAGAGAAGCAAGCUUGAAAGUUGAUCAUAUCAUCAUCUCCAUCAUAGAAUUUCCAGAUAAGCAUGUACGAGUGAUGGAAGAAGCAAGAAGCAGAAGAGCGCAAGAGCUGAGCUGGAAGAUUUUACUUCCCUUGUUUUUUAUCUCGCUGUGUAUUAUGUAUUUGUGUUAUUUAUUACAUGUUAUAUGAAGAACAUACUUGAUGUAAGGUGUACUCAUGUAAUUUGUAUACUAUUGUGUUUAUGUUCAGUAUCAGUAUUAACAGUCUAAAUGAAAUAAUUCUAAACAUAUCUCGUUUGGGUUGUUACAA